AUUGAACGCUGGCGGCAGGCCUAACACAUGCAAGUCGAACGGUAACAGGAAACAGCUUGCUGUUUCGCUGACGAGUGGCGGACGGGUGAGUAAUGUCUGGGAAACUGCCUGAUGGAGGGGGAUAACUACUGGAAACGGUAGCUAAUACCGCAUAACGUCGCAAGACCAAAGAGGGGGACCUUCGGGCCUCUUGCCAUCGGAUGUGCCCAGAUGGGAUUAGCUAGUAGGUGGGGUAACGGCUCACCUAGGCGACGAUCCCUAGCUGGUCUGAGAGGAUUACCAGCCACACUGGAACUGAGACACGGCCCAGACUCCUACGGGAGGCAGCAGUGGGGAAUAUUGCACAAUGGGCGCAAGCCUGAUGCAGCCAUGCCGCGUGUAUGAAGAAGGCCUUCGGGUUGUAAAGUACUUUCAGCGGGGAGGAAGGGAGUAAAGUUAAUACCUUUACUCAUUGACGUUACCCGCAGAAGAAGCACCGGCUAACUCCGUG
rnacentral:rRNA from 1 species